UCAAACUUGGUCAUUUAGAGGAAGUAAAAGUCGUAACAAGGUCUCCGUUGGUGAACCAGCGGAGGGAUCAUUACAGAGUUGUAAAACUCCCAACCAUUGUGAACGAACCUGCUACGCUACAGCGGGUGGUUCUCUGUAACCACCCGCUGGCAGCAUGCAAACUCUUGCUACAGUGUAUCUCUGAGUAACUUAUUUAAUAAGUCAAAACUUUCAACAACGGAUCUCUUGGUUCUGGCAUCGAUGAAGAACGCAGC
rnacentral:misc_RNA from 1 species